rnacentral:rRNA from 1 species
CCUACGGGUGGCAGCAGUGAGGAAUAUUGGACAAUGGACGAGAGUCUGAAGCAGCCAAGUAGCGUGAAGGAUGACUGCCCUAUGGGUUGUAAACUUCUUUUAUAGGGGAAUAAAAUGUUCCACGUGUGGGAUUUUGUAUGUACCAUAUGAAUAAGGAUCGGCUAACUCCGUGCCAGCAGCCGCGGUAAUACGGAGGAUCCGAGCGUUAUCCGGAUUGAUUGGGGUUAAAGGGAGCGUAGGUGGUUUGUUAAGUCAGUUGUGAAAUUCUUCGGCUCAACCGUAAAAUUGCAUUUGAAACUGGCAAUCUUGAGUACAGUAGAGGUGGGCAGAAUUCGUGGUGUAGCGGUGAAAUGCUUAGAUAUCUCGAAGAAUACCGAUUGCGAAGGCAGCUCACUGGACUGAGACUGACACUGAGGCUCGAAAGUGUGGGUAUCAAACAGGAUUAGAUACCCUAGUAGUC